CACAGAGCCCAACAUGGGGCUCGAACUCAUGAACCAUGAGAUCAUGAGCUGAACCAAAGCCGGACGCUCAACCAACUGAGCCACCCAGGUGCCCCUAGAAUAUGGAGUUCAAAUCCCGACUCUACAGUUGUUGUGUGACCUCAGACUAGAUACUUAAUCUCUUUAUAUCAGCUUCCCCUUGGGAAAAAAAAAAAAAAAAAAAAAAUAGUACCUACUCCACAGCUGUUGAGGAG